rnacentral:tRNA from 1 species
GGGGUUGUAGCUCAGUGGUAGAGCAUUUGCCCAACAUGCAUACAACCCUGUGCUUAGAACUCCAGAACCCCA